AGAAUCAACGCUGGCGGCGUGCCUAACACAUGCAAGUCGAACGAGAAAGUGGAGCAAUCCAUGAGUAAAGUGGCGCACGGGUGAGUAACACGUGACUAACCUACCCUUGAGUGGGGAAUAACCUAGGGAAACCUGGGCUAAUACCGCAUAACACCUACGGGUCAAAGGAGUAAUUCGCUUAAGGAGGGGUCGCGGCAGAUUAGCUAGUUGGCGGGGUAAUGGCCCACCAAGGCAGUGAUCUGUA
rnacentral:rRNA from 1 species